GGGGUCCUAGAGGUUAGAGUUUCCGCCUCGGAUGUGGAAGUUCAUGGGUUCGAUCCCCGGCUGAGUCA